CAGCCGCCACGGUAAAACGUAGGUGGCAAGCGUUGUCCGGAUUUAUUGGGCGUAAAGCGAGCGCAGGCGGUCAAUUAAGUCUGAUGUGAAAGCCCCCGGCUCAACCGGGGAGGGUCAUUGGAAACUGGUUGACUUGAGUGCAGAAGAGGAGAGUGGAAUUCCAUGUGUAGCGGUGAAAUGCGUAGAUAUAUGGAGGAACACCAGUGGCGAAGGCGACUCUCUGGUCUGUAACUGACGCUGAGGCUCGAAAGCGUGGGUAGCAAACAGGAUUAGAUACCCCGGUAGUCCCUGUCUCUUAUAC
rnacentral:rRNA from 1 species